rnacentral:rRNA from 1 species
GUGUCAGCCGCCGCGGUAAUACGGAGGAUGCAAGCGUUAUCCGGAUUCAUUGGGUUUAAAGGGUGCGUAGGCGGGACAAUAAGUCAGUGGUGAAAGCCUGCGGCUUAACCGUAGAAUUGCCAUUGAUACUGCUGUUCUUGAGUACAGUUGAGGUGGGCGGAAUGUGUAAUGUAGCGGUGAAAUGCUUAGAUAUUACACAGAACACCGAUUGCGAAGGCAGCUCACUAAGCUGUUACUGACGCUGAGGCACGAAAGCGUGGGGAGCAAACAGGAUUAGAUACCCUUGUAGUCC